rnacentral:tRNA from 1 species
GGGGUUGUGGCUCAGUGGUAGAGCACUUGCCUAGCACGUGCGAGGCACUGGGUUCAAUCCCCAGCACCCCA